rnacentral:rRNA from 1 species
CCUACGGGUGGCAGCAGUGGGGGAUAUUGCACAAUGGAGGGAACCCUGAUGCAGCGACGCCGCGUGGGUGAAGAAGCGCCUCGGCGCGUAAAGCCCUGUCAGCAGGGGAGAAAAUGACGGUACCUGAAGAAGAAGCCCCGGCUAACUACGUGCCAGCAGCCGCGGUAAUACGUAGGGGGCAGGCGUUAUCCGGAUUUACUGGGUGUAAGGGGGGCGCAGACGGUGGUGCAGGCCGGGAGUGAAAGCCCGGGGCCCAACGCAGGGGCUGCACUUGAAACUGCGUGGCUGGAGUGCAGGAGGGGGAGGCGGAAUUCCUGGGGUAGCGGGAAAAUGC